UUUUAUGGAGAGUUUGAUCCUGGCUCAGGAUGAACGCUGGCGGCGUGCCUAAUACAUGCAAGUCGAGCGAACAGACGAGGAGCUUGCUCCUCUGACGUUAGCGGCGGACGGGUGAGUAACACGUGGAUAACCUACCUAUAAGACCGGGAUAACUUCGGGAAACCGGAGCUAAUACCGGAUAAUAUAUUGAACCGCAUGGUUCAAUAGUGAAAGACGGUUUUGCUGUCACUUAUAGAUGGAUCCGCGCCGCAUUAGCUAGUUGGUAAGGUAACGGCUUACCAAGGCAACGAUGCGUAGCCGACCUGAGAGGGUGAUCGGCCACACUGGAACUGAGACACGGUCCAGACUCCUACGGGAGGCAGCAGUAGGGAAUCUUCCGCAAUGGGCGAAAGCCUGACGGAGCAACGCCGCGUGAGUGAUGAAGGUCUUCGGAUCGUAAAACUCUGUUAUUAGGGAAGAACAAAUGUGUAAGUAACUAUGCACGUCUUGACGGUACCUAAUCAGAAAGCCACGGCUAACUACGUGCCAGCAGCCGCGGUAAUACGUAGGUGGCAAGCGUUAUCCGGAAUUAUUGGGCGUAAGCGCGCGUAGGCGUUUUUAAGCUGAUGUGAAGCC
rnacentral:rRNA from 1 species